rnacentral:lncRNA from 1 species
AUUCAUCUCCUGAGGAAGAAUGUUUGAUCAGUGGGGAGGAUGGAACCUCUGGGGCUGACAGCAGGCACCUUUGGGAGGCGGGUGUGAUUGGCACCUUUGAAGCCUCCUUGGGAUCCCGAGUCCAGUGGGUCAGGAGCUUCCUCUGUCUGUGGGUGGUGGUAGUAAUAAUGUCGCAGCUCAGAGGAUUAAUUGCAGACAAGCAGCAGGAUUAUGAGGGGGUCUCCAGGGCUCUAAAAGAACACUUGGAGGCAAGCCUCUGAUCUGUCGGCCUUGGAGGAAAUUAGUGAGAGCCAGCUUUUUUUUUCUUUUUUCUUUUUUUUUUAAGACGUUUAGGAUAUUAAAGUGAAAUGUGAAGAGGAUAUUGAAAUAGGGAGAUAGCUUUGCCAGGGGGUAGGGGUGGGGGCGGUGCUGUUACCCAAAUGCAAUGUCCCCCCUCUCUCUACUGGGAAUGUGCAAAGUUUAACCCAUUUACGCAGACUCCUUAUAGAAAUGCAAAGGAAUUGGUAUAAGCCAUACAAUACAUUACAGAAGGCAGCCUGGCUUUGCCUUGGGACCUAAGUUUGUGUGAGAGGCAUGCUUCCCCUUCUAGGCCAGGUUUCAGAAUAUCCUGACAAUGAAUCUCCAGGUACAACUUUAAAACAAGUCAGGGCAGUACUGAUGCCGUAUCUACAUUAGCUAUCUAUUGUAUAUUUUACUUCUUACCCUUCUGGUUCCAGUCGGGAUGCUGCCAAUAAAUCCUGUGUUACCAUUAAAGAGGCCAUUCAUCACGCGUCCUAAUGCGAUUAAUCAAGAUACACCACAGUCCCCUUAAAAUGAGAUCAUUUUGAUAAAUCAUGUAUGACAUGAAAAGACUUUAUUCCUUUUAAGUGCAAUUUAGACUGUAAUUUUUUCCCUCAUUCAUGAUUCAUGGGAGAAACAUGGAUAAAAUUCCCUUGCACAGUUACACCUUAUCUACAGCCAUAACUCAAAACUGCUUUUAGAUGAAAAUUCAGAGUCUUAUUCACCAAAGCUGAAUGCCAGCUCAUUAUUUUCUGGCAUUCAGUAGUCCAAAAAUAAUGUCCGCGCAUUAAACAGCAUUCUCUAAAAAAGAAGG